GACGAACGCUGGCGGCGUGCCUAAUACAUGCAAGUAGGACGCAGUCGCGAACGGGCGAGCAACGCGUAGGCAACUACCUAUUAGAGGGGGAUAACUAUUGUAAACGAUAGCUAAUACCGCAUACUAGUAGAUGGACCUGCGUUGUAUUAGCUAGUAGGUAGGGUAAUGGCCUACCUAGGCAACGAUACAUAGCCGACCCUGGUGGGUGAUCGGCCACACUGGGACGGGGACACCGCCCAUACCCCUACGGGAGGCAGCCGUGGGGGAUCUUCGGCAAUGGGGGGAAACCUGACCGAGCAACGCCGCGUGGGUGAAGAAGGUUUUCGGGUCGUAAAGCUCUGUUGUUCGGGAAGCGGUACUUGUCCAGAAAGGGACGGCUAACUACGUGCCAGCAGCCGCGGUAAUAC
rnacentral:rRNA from 1 species